UGGAAGUAAAAGUCGUAACAAGGUCUCCGUUGGUGAACCAGCGGAGGGAUCAUUACCGAGUUUACAACUCCCAAACCCAAUGUGAACGUUACCAAACUGUUGCCUCGGCGGGAUCUCUGCCCCGGGUGCGUCGCAGCCCCGGACCAAGGCGCCCGCCGGAGGACCAACCUAAAACUCUUAUUGUAUACCCCCUCGCGGGUUUUUUUAUAAUCUGAGCCUUCUCGGCGCCUCUCGUAGGCGUUUCGAAAAUGAAUCAAAACUUUCAACAACGGAUCUCUUGGUUCUGGCAUCGAUGAAGAACGCAGCGAAAUGCGAUAAGUAAUGUGAAUUGCAGAAUUCAGUGAAUCAUCGAAUCUUUGAACGCACAUUGCGCCCGCCAGUAUUCUGGCGGGCAUGCCUGUCCGAGCGUCAUUUCAACCCUCGAACCCCUCCGGGGGGUCGGCGUUGGGGAUCGGCCCUCCCUUAGCGGGUGGCCGUCUCCGAAAUACAGUGGCGGUCUCGCCGCAGCCUCUCCUGCGCAGUAGUUUGCACACUCGCAUCGGGAGCGCGGCGCGUCCACAGCCGUUAAACACCCAACUUCUGAAAUGUUGACCUCGGAUCAGGUAGGAAUACCCGCUGAACUUAAGCAUAUCAAUAAGCGGAG
rnacentral:rRNA from 1 species